rnacentral:rRNA from 1 species
CAGCCGCCGCGGUAAUACGAAGGGUGCUAGCGUUGUUCGGAAUUACUGGGCGUAAAGGGCGCGUAGGCGGCCAUUCAAGUUAGAUGUGAAAGCCCUGGGCUCAACCUAGGAAUUGCAUUUGAUACUGUUUGGCUUGAGUUCGGGAGAGGUGAGUGGAAUUCCCAGUGUAGAGGUGAAAUUCCUAGAUAUUGGGAAGAACACCAGUGGCGGAGGCGGCUCACUGGCUCAUUCUAGACGCUGAGGUGCGAAAGCGUGGGGAGCAAACAGGAUUAGAUACCCCCGUAGUCCCUGUCUCUUAUAC